rnacentral:misc_RNA from 1 species
ACACCUCAACCCUCAUGGUUUGCCAUGAUGGGCUUGGACUUUGGGGGUUUUGCUGGAUUGUGGUCAGCUCCCCUUAAAUGAAUCAGCUUGCCAGUGUUUGGUGGCAUCACAGGUGUGAUAACUAUCUACGCUUGUGGUUUUACAUCAGAUAACCUUCAGUGAUGGAGGUUCACUGGAGCUUAUAAAGGUCUCUCCUCUGUGAGGACAGUUCUUUGAAU